GCGUAUUUAAAUUUGUUUAUUGUCGGCCGGUUUCGUCUGCCCAUACUUGUUAUUUUUGCGUGUCACCAGCUGACCGGCCUUGUGCGCAAUUCGACACGAAACCCGGCGAAGGAAGACACCUUGGAACCUACAACUAAACUACUGAUCUACGAUCUCUCAACAAACUACAGACUGCAUCUGUCUACUGUCCAUAUGUCUCUUCUAUUCUAAUGCCCAAUACAUUUAUUUCCAUUUA